rnacentral:rRNA from 1 species
GGUUAAGUUAGAAAGGGCGCACGGUGAAUGCCUUGGCACUAGGAGCCGAUGAAGGACGGGACUAACACCGAUAUGCUUCGGGGAGCUGUAAGUGAGCUUUGAUCCGGAGAUUUCCGAAUGGGGAAACCCACUGUUCGUAAUGGAACAGUAUCUUUAUCUGAAUACAUAGGAUAUUGAAGGCAGACCCGGGGAACUGAAACAUCUAAGUACCCGGAGGAAGAGAAAGCAAAUGCGAUUUCCUGAGUAGCGGCGAGCGAAACGGAAUUAGCCCAAACCUAGAGGCUUGCCUCUUGGGGUUGUAGGACACUCUAUACGGAGUUACAAAGGAACGAAGUAAAUGAAGCGACCUGGAAAGGUCCGUCGAAGAAGGUAACAACCCUGUAGUUGAAACUUCGUUCCCUCUUGAGUGGAUCCUGAGUACGGCGGAACACGUGAAAUUCCGUCGGAAGCUGGGAGGACCAUCUCCCAAGGCUAAAUACUACCUAGUGACCGAUAGUGAACCAGUACCGUGAGGGAAAGGUGAAAAGCACCCGGAAGGGAGUGAAAGAGAUCCUGAAACCGUGUGCCUACAAGUAGUCAGAGCCCGUUAACGGGUGAUGGCGUGCCUUUUGUAGAAUGAACCGGCGAGUUACGAUCCCAUGCAAGGUUAAGCUGAUAAGGCGGAGCCGUAGCGAAAGCGAGUCUGAAUAGGGCGUUUAGUAUGUGGUUGUAGACCCGAAACCAGGUGAUCUACCCAUGUCCAGGGUGAAGUUCAGGUAACACUGAAUGGAGGCCCGAACCCACGCACGUUGAAAAGUGCGGGGAUGAGGUGUGGUAGCGGAGAAAUUCCAAUCGAACCUGGAGAUAGCUGGUUCUCUCCGAAAUAGCUUUAGGGCUAGCCUCAUGUUGUGAGAGUCUUGGAGGUAGAGCACUGAUUGGACUAGGGGCCCCAACGGGUUACCGAAUUCAGUCAAACUCCGAAUGCCAAAGACUUAUCCAUGGGAGUCAGACUGCAGUGAUAAGAUCCGUAGUCAAAGGAAACAGCCCAGACCACCAGCUAAGGUCCCCAAGUAUACGUUAAGUGGAAAAGGAUGUGGAGUUGCUUAGACAACCAGGAUGUUGGCUUAGAAGCAGCCACCAUUUAAAGAGUGCGUAAUAGCUCACUGGUCGAGUGACUCUGCGCCGAAAAUGUACCGGGGCUAAACGUAUCACCGAAGCUGUGGAUUGACAUCUUAGAUGUCAGUGGUAGGAGAGCGUUCUAAGUGCUGUGAAGUCAGACCGUAAGGACUGGUGGAGCGCUUAGAAGUGAGAAUGCCGGUAUGAGUAGCGAAAGACAAGUGAGAAUCUUGUCCACCGAAUGCCUAAGGUUUCCUGAGGAAGGCUCGUCCGCUCAGGGUUAGUCGGGACCUAAGCCGAGGCUGAAAAGCGUAGGCGAUGGCCAACAGGUUGAUAUUCCUGUACCACCUCCCCGCCGUUUGAGUAAUGGGGGGACGCAGUAGGAUAGGGUAAGCGCGCUGCUGGAUAUGCGCGUUCAAGCAGUUAGGCUGAUGAGUAGGCAAAUCCGCUCAUCAUAAAGGCUGAGCUGUGAUGACGAGGGAAUUAUAGUACCGAAGUUCCUGAUUCCACACUGCCAAGAAAAGCCUCUAGCGAGGCGGGAGGUGCCCGUACCGCAAACCGACACAGGUAGGCGAGGAGAGAAUCCUAAGGUGAUCGAGAGAACUCUCGUUAAGGAACUCGGCAAAAUGACCCCGUAACUUCGGGAGAAGGGGUGCUCUGGUAGGGUGUAUAGCCCGAGAGAGCCGCAGUGAAUAGGCCCAGGCGACUGUUUAGCAAAACACAGGUCUCUGCGAAGCCGCAAGGCGAAGUAUAGGGGCUGACGCCUGCCCGGUGCUGGAAGGUUAAGAGGAGGGUUAUCCUUUGGGAGAAGCUCUGAAUCGAAGCCCCAGUAAACGGCGGCCGUAACUAUAACGGUCCUAAGGUAGCGAAAUUCCUUGUCGGGUAAGUUCCGACCCGCACGAAAGGCGUAACGAUCUGGGCACUGUCUCAACGAGAGACUCGGUGAAAUUAUAGUACCUGUGAAGAUGCAGGUUACCCGCGACAGGACGGAAAGACCCCGUGGAGCUUUACUGUAGCCUGAUAUUGAAUUUUGGUACAGCUUGUACAGGAUAGGUAGGAGCCUGAGAAGCCGGAGCGCUAGCUUCGGUGGAGGCGUCGGUGGGAUACUACCCUGGCUGUAUUGAAAUUCUAACCCGCGGCCCUGAUCGGGCCGGGAGACAGUGUCAGGUGGGCAGUUUGACUGGGGCGGUCGCCUCCUAAAAUGUAACGGAGGCGCCCAAAGGUUCCCUCAGAAUGGUUGGAAAUCAUUCGUAGAGUGUAAAGGCACAAGGGAGCUUGACUGCGAGACCUACAAGUCGAGCAGGGACGAAAGUCGGGCUUAGUGAUCCGGUGGUUCCGCAUGGAAGGGCCAUCGCUCAACGGAUAAAAGCUACCCGGGGAUAACAGGCUUAUCUCCCCAAGAGUCCACAUCGACGGGGAGGUUUGGCACCUCGAUGUCGGCUCAUCGCAUCCUGGGGCUGUAGUCGGUCCCAAGGGUUGGGCUGUUCGCCCAUUAAAGCGGUACGCGAGCUGGGUUCAGAACGUCGUGAGACAGUUCGGUCCCUAUCCGUCGUGGGCGUAGGAAAUUUGAGAGGAGCUGUCCUUAGUACGAGAGGACCGGGAUGGACACACCGCUGGUGUACCAGUUGUCUUGCCAAAGGCAUCGCUGGGUAGCUAUGUGUGGACGGGAUAAGUGCUGAAAGCAUCUAAGCAUGAAGCCCCUCAAGAUGAGAUUUCCCAUAGCGCAAGCUAGUAAGAUCCCUGAAAGAUGAUCAGGUUGAUAGGUCAGAGGUGGAAGCGUGGCGACAUGUGUAGCUGACUGAUACUAAUCGAUCGAGGACUUAACCAA